GAUGAACGCUGGCGGCGUGCCUAAUACAUGCAAGUCGAGCGAACAGACGAGGAGCUUGCUCCUCGGACGAUUGCCGCGCACGGGUGUGUAACACGUGGAUAACCUACCUAUAAUACUGGGAUCACUUCGGGACACCGGCGCUAAUACCGUAUAAUAUAUUGAUCCGCAUGGUUCAAUGGUAAGAGACGGUUGUGCUGUCACUUAUAGAUGGAUCCGCGCCGCAUGAGCUAGUUGGUAAGGUAACGGCUUACCAAGGCAACGAUGCGUAGCCGACCUGAGAGGGUGAUAGGCCACACUGGAACUGAGACACGGUCAAGACGCCUACGGGAGGCAGCAGUAGGGAAUCUGCGGCAAUGGGCGAAAGCCUGACGGAGCAACGCCGCGUGAGUGAUGAAGGUCUUCGGAUCGUAAAACUCUGUUAUUAGGGAAGAACAAAUGUGUAAGUAACUAUGCACGUCUUGACGGUACCGAAUCAGAAAGCCACGGCUAACUACGUG
rnacentral:rRNA from 1 species